AACGUAGGAGACAAACGUUAUCCGGAGUUACUGGGCGUAAAGGGCGUGUAGGUGGUUUCGUAAGUCUGGCGUGAAAUAUCUCGGCUUAACCGAGGCAGGUCGUCGGAUACUGCGGGACUAGAGGACGGUAGAGGCGUGUGGAAUUCCGGGUGUAGUGGUGAAAUGCGUAGAGAUCCGGAGGAACACCAGUGGCGAAGGCGACACGCUGGGCCGACAUUGACGCUGAGGUGCGAAAGCGUGGGGAGCAAACAGG
rnacentral:rRNA from 1 species